rfam:Megasphaera sp. DJF_B143 contig_8, whole genome shotgun sequence.
UGUGAAACAUGUGACUGACGGAAAGUGGAGCAUACCACGGGGAGCAUGAUUCGAUAUAGCCGACCGUCUGGGCGAAGGUU